rnacentral:rRNA from 1 species
GAUGAACGCUGGCGGCGUGCCUAAUACAUGCAAGUCGAGCGAACGGACGAGAAGCUUGCUUCUCUGAUGUUAGCGGCGGACGGGUGAGUAACACGUGGAUAACCUACCUAUAAGACUGGGAUAAUUUCGGGAAACCGGAGCUAAUACCGGAUAAUAUUUUGAACCGCAUGGUUCAAAAGUGAAAGACGGUCUUGCUGUCACUUAUAGAUGGAUCCGCGCUGCAUUAGCUAGUUGGUAAGGUAACGGCUUACCAAGGCAACGAUGCAUAGCCGACCUGGGAGGGUGAUCGGCCACACUGGAACUGAGACACGGUCCAGACUCCUACGGGAGGCAGCAGUAGGGAAUCUUCCGCAAUGGGCGAAAGCCUGACGGAGCAACGCCGCGUGAGUGAUGAAGGUCUUCGGAUCGUAAAACUCUGUUAUUAGGGAAGAACAUAUGUGUAAGUAACUGUGCACAUCUUGACGGUACCUAAUCAGAAAGCCACGGCUAACUACGUG